rnacentral:rRNA from 1 species
GAUGAACGCUAGCUACAGGCUUAACACAUGCAAGUCGAGGGGGAACGACAUCGAAAGCUUGCUUUUGAUGGGCGUCGACCGGCGCACGGGUGAGUAACGCGUAUCCAACCUGCCCAUCACUUGGGAAUAACCUUGCGAAAGUAAGACUAAUACCCAAUGACAUCCCACGAAGACAUCUGAAUGGGAUUAAAGAUUUAUCGGUGAUGGAUGGGGAUGCGUCUGAUUAGCUUGUUGGCGGGGUAACGGCCCACCAAGGCAACGAUCAGUAGGGGUUCUGAGAGGAAGGUCCCCCACAUUGGAACUGAGACACGGUCCAAACUCCUACGGGAGGCAGCAGUGAGGAAUAUUGGUCAAUGGGCGAGAGCCUGAACCAGCCAAGUAGCGUGCAGGAUGACGGCCCUAUGGGUUGUAAACUGCUUUUAUAAGGGAAUAAAGUGGGUCUCGUGAGACUUUUUGCAUGUACCUUAUGAAUAAGGACCGGCUAAUUCCGUG